rnacentral:lncRNA from 1 species
ACUUGCCUUCUCUCUCACCCUACUUUCAUAAGGCUUUUGAUAUCUGGAGCUCAUAGGUGGGAGAUAAAGUAUACAUACUUACAAGACAUUUAUUGCAUAGUCAAACCAUGGAUCUAGAGAAACAAGUCAAUAAGUCAAAUCAAGAUGUGCAUGUGUGGCGAAUGAAUGGUGUAACAAUGGUGAAAGUCUAAUUCUACUUGUUGUGCUCUUUUGAGGGGAUACAUACCUUUCUUGCUCUUUGAAACUUUUUGAGGAGAAUGAGAUGCUCUAUAUUUUCUUUUUCUUUCCCCUCAGGUGGGUAUCUUGUACCCCUAAUUCUACUAUCGGACACUUGUCCAUUUCUACCUCUCGUCUCACUUUUUCUUUUCUUUUGAGGUUCCGGGCGCUUGCCCCUUUUUAUUUCCUCGUAUCUUUUUUCUUUUUUUAGAGCACUCAUCUCCUGAAAUAGUAUAGCAAGUGGUAGUAACCAAGAUAACUCGAGCAUUUAUUUCACGUGGAAAAAACAGAAAUAGGAGAAUGUUUUUGGCUAUUCUCUCUCGGAUUAGGAGUAGAAUACUUUUGGGUGGCUCUAGAGAUGGAAAUGAGUAGAUAUAUGUGGUGCGUACUUCUGGAGUAGAAGCAGCAUGUGUGAGUGAACGUGCAAGAGAAUCUUGAUUUUAACCGCAUGACAAGCUCCUAAGGGUCUACACAGCUUGACCACACUCAAUGCUCAUAAGCAGUAAAAAGUAAAUGUGUGGCUCAAAGUCUAGCAAGCAUGUAUAUAUGGCUGUGGUAGAAAUUUAAACUCUCAUCAUAUAAGAACUCAUCAUGUGAUAUUUUAAAGAUUUUCAAAGAUAAAAUUCUCUAGAGUUCUAGCAUCUAUAGGAACAGAUAAACAGCAGCUCAACCUUCCCAUAUCAUAUCCGUUAACAACUUAGACUUCAGAUCAAGUUCUCUUCCCACAAAUUCAGGUUUAGAGCAAGCUUUAAAUUAUAACAGUUACGUCUAAACUAGAGAGAGAACUCAAAUAUGAAAAUUAGGCAGAGCAACUAUUCAUCAUAUCCAUGCUAGAGUCUUAUUAAGAUUCAGUUUAGCAUAGCCACUUUAUUUAUUUAUUAAGCAUACUAAGCAAAAGAUAUAUAUAUAUAUAUAUAAGCACAAAAUCUUUAUUUGGUUUUUCAUGGUUAUGUAUAUAUUUUUUUUAAUAUAGUAUAAGUAUAAAUGUAGAUAGAAAUAUUUAGGGGGAUAAAUGGGGGUGCUCUCCCCCAAGCUGGAUUUUGACGUAAUUUCUUCUGAUGUAGCUAGCAGGUGCUGGAGGUGUAUUUGAAAGUCGGCAGCACCCUGAGAGCAAUUAGAAUGUCCUCCGUCUGCUAGUCUUCUUGAUCCUUGAAUUCUGUGGAGCUCCAAUAGACAACAAAGCUUUGUGGAACUGAUUAGAUGUUAGCAUAAUAUUUAGCCUUUAUCAUAUUGAGCCACCUCAAUAAAUGCUACUUUCUUUGGUAGGAUCACAAUUUUAUUUUUGUAUUUUCAUUUUUAUAGAGUAGAAGAAUAUUUUUAUUUUAUUAUUUUUUUUAUGCCACCACAGUGAAUGUACUUAUGGGUUUUAUGCCACUUGUAUACUCACAUGGGGCUUACUGGUUUUAACAUUUUUAUUUUCUUUUUAGGAUAGUAUGAACAUAAUUAACUAAGCAAACUACUUUAAAUAAUUGAAAGGAAAAGGAUAACUACCAAGUUUACCUCUUGGCAAGGCGUUCGGUGUUUUUAAGUCCUCCGAACGGGACUCUCCGUUUUCUCAGUCGUCUUGGGAUUCGCUGGAUGGCAUAGUCGGUGCCUCUGGCGGUGCCUCCUCUUCGUGUAUAACUAUCUUCUUUCUCCACACCUGACUCGGUGUUACGGUCUCCUCAGGAUAGUUCUGUUCAAGCUGUAUGUCUUCAGACCUUACCACUUCUUCUUCAUAGUCUGCCCAUCCGUCCUUGAUGAUUUGCCUCCUCUGGUUGCGGUUGCGUCGUCUUCUUCUUGUCCUGACCUGCUUAGAGUCUUCAACUAUAUAGUUAGGGUCACUAAAAUAGCGGCGUACCUUCUCAUAGUGGAAGUGCAUGUGGACUUCUCCGGUUCCAAUGUAGAUGAUUGCUUUAAUGGUGCUGAGGAACCGUCUCCCAAGGAUGAUGGGUGGAUCAUACUCGUCUUCUCCCAUGUCAAUAACCUAAAAAUCUGUAUGGACAAAACGAUCAUCUAUUUUGACAGGGACAUCAGUUACUAUACCUUCAACCUUUCGGAAUGUCUAAUCUGCCAUCUGGAGCUGAAUGUAUUUCGGUUUUAGGGGCAUGCGAAUAGGAGCUGAUAGGUGACUGCGGCCAUUAUGUUGACGCCCGACCCGGUGUCGCAAACCGUCUUGUGAAAGUUGUAUCCAUUGAUGGAGCACUGGAUGCUUGGCAUACCUGGGUCAUCCUUAUUGGUCAGGAAUGGUGACUUGAGUUGACAAUCUUGACCUCCUUGAAUUGCAGUGACCAUCUAAGCUGACUUGGUCCACACUUGCUUGUUCCUGAUCCUCCUGUUGGUCCUCUUCCUUGGUUCAUGUCGAGAUUGCUCUGGGAUUUGUAUAGUCUUGUUCUUGAAGGAAAACGUCUCCUUCCUUCCCUUGAUGUAGAAACUGAUCUUGGCAGCACUAGCGUAGAUGACAGCCCCCUAGGUGUUCAGGAAUGGCCUCCCUAAGAUGACGGGUGCCCUCUCAUCAGAACCUGUCUCUAUCACCACGAAGUCUGCUCGGGCGUACAAGGUACCAACUCGGAGGCAGAGGUUCUUCAAUAUUCCCUUGGGGAAACUUAUCGUCCGAUCUACAAGCUGCAAGUACAUGGUUGUUUCUAGUAAAGGAUGUGUAAAGAAUUUUUCAUAGACUACCUUGGGCAUAAUGUUGAUGCUGGAGCCCAAGUCGCAGAGUGCUUCUGGGAAGUCCACCCUGCCCAUGGAGAUCGGUAUGACGGGGCGUCCUGGAUCGCCUCUCUUGAUCGGCAGAAGGUCAGUAGUUACUUCCACAACGUGGUUACUCCAGUAGUUACCUGUAUCAAACAUGUCUACAAGAUUUGCAGAUUCUAAUCCUUCCAGCUGUGAUGGUAUACCGGGGUUAGUAGUUGGAACAGCAGCAGCUAUUUGAUUUAAUUGAGAUUCAAUCAUUUUAUUAAAGCUAAUUUGAUUCUUGAUGGCAGUAGAGAAAUUAUGCAUUCUGUUAUUUAUAUUUUCUAGCAUUUUAUCAUUAGAUGCCAAUUUCUUAGAUAGGUUAUCCAUUAGGUUUCCUUGAUUAGACACUAACACUCUUAGAGGUGGAAAAAUAUUAUUAUUAUUGUAAGAAUUGUUACCUUGAUAAUUACCUGAGUAGUUAGGCCUCUGUUGAUUCCAACCUUGAUUUUAUUGAGGACGGUAGUAGUAGUAGUUGUUGUUGUUGAUGUAGUUCACGUCCUUAAGAAUCUCAGGGCAGUGAUUGUCUGAGUGUCCAGUAUCUCCACAAUCCUCACAAGUCAUGUGAGAGUCGUAGACGUGCAUGACUUCUUUCUUAUCUCCCGCUCUAUCAUCGAGCUUCUUCAUGAGCAGGUCUAGCUUGGCAGACAGCAUGUCUACCUCCUUGAGCUGGUGCAUACCUCCACCUCUCUUGCGUGUUUGGGUCAUUUCUUCAUUCCAGCCUUGGUUGGACGCCAUCUUCUCCACAAGAGCUGUGGCUUGUGGUAUGGUGAGUGAUAGGAAUGCUCCUCCAGCUGUAGCAUCCAUGGUCUCACGGGCACUAUUGCCGAGCCCAUGAUAAAAUGUCUGCAUCAGUAGCCAGCUCUCCAUUCCAUGAUGGGGGCAUUCUAGGAUGUAGUCUUGGAAGCGCUCCCAUGCUUCUGGAACGGAUUCAUCAUGUUGUUGCUGAAAACUUGUAAUUUUCCCACGGAGAGGAUUGGUCUUACCCAUGGGAGAGAACUUAGCCAGAAAGUUUAUGGAGCAGAGUGCCCACGUAGUAUUCUUCUCCUUUGUAGCGUAGAACCACUGCUUCGCUCUCCCCAACAGUGAGAAUGGGAAGAGGCGAAGUAGUAUAGCAUCUCUGGGGACUCCUGACAUGGUGAAUGUGCUGCAAAUCUCCAGGAAGUGUUGGAGAUGAGCACUAGCAUCUUCGUACGCCUUUCCACAGAACUAGUUGGCUUGCACCAUGUUGAUGAGUCCAGGCUUGAGCUCAAAGCUACAGUCGAUCUCCACAGCAGGUCCAAUGCGGAUGUUGUCUGUAGUGGGAGCUGAGAACUCGUGGAUCGACUUGUUCGCCAUGGCUUCGUACUCUGAAGACAAGUUCCUGAUGAAACUUCGGUGGUCUUCUUGGUUUGAUGAAGCUUUGUGCUGAAGUGUUGACGAUGUCUUCUUGAGCUUGGCUCUUGUUUUUCUGAAUAACGCUUCGGGGUCGUCAACAAAAUUUCCUAGAUGAUGUCUUCUAUUCAUACAUUAUCAUGCAUAAAAUAAUCAAAAUAGAAAAAUACAGGCAUAAAACUGUAUGAGAGAAUUGAUAAUCUCAAUCAUAUUAGUGAUGCGAAUGAUGACUCGAAAUUUCGUAUUCAUUCCUUAUUAGUAAUCAACCUUCCCCAGCAACGGCGCCAAAAAUGCUUGUUGGGCAUUCUUAACGUCAUUACCAAAAGUAGACUUAGUUUUCUAAUUCUGAUAACGGCGCCAAAAAUGCCGAACCUAUCCCUCAUGCCACUUAAGCCAAGUUGUCAUCCCCAGCAUGACAUGAGAGACGCGGUAUUAAAAAUAUGCAAUUGCUCUUCUGAAUGAAUAAUAAAUGAGAUCUACAAGCGCACAGAUUAAUACUGAUGUAGCAUUUUAACCGGGAAGUAUUACUGGUAUCGUUAUUAAUAUUUUUACCACUGGGAAGGGAUUGCUAAUCAUCAAUAUUGAUUAAGGAAUGGAAUAUGGAAUAUGUAUAAUAGAGAGCAUUUAUCUAUCUCUUUCAUAUAGGGAUAAAUGUCACAUAAAAGAUAGAUAGAGUAUGAAUGGUGACAAAGAUAAUUAAUCUGAUCAGCAUAACUAGCCACAUAUAAUAAUGAUAAGCACCUCAAUAGAUAUUGUAGCAAGCCAUUAGCAUGGAAUUAGGAUGAACUACAAGAAUAUUUUCUAACUUAUUUGUUGACGGUCCUUAAGUAUCAAAUUUAAUUAUCAAAUAAACAAAGAAAAGGAUCCAAAUGAAAUCAACAUCUAGACUUAGGGUUUUAUCUGACAAAAUUCCACGAGUUUUGGUGUUUGUCUAUUUCUGCAGGGGGUUAUUAGGAAAUACGGAAGAAAGGCCCACACGUCGGGAUUACAUAAAGAUAUCAACGUGCCGCGCAAUUAUCUUACAUCUAGAAGACUCGAGAAGCCACGGAAAGGAAGCGAAGGCCGAACGGGGCCUGGCCCUGGGCGCCCGCCCAGGUAACCAGGGCGCCCGCCCCCCUUCUGAGUCCAAUCAGGACUCUCUUUCGGGAAAGAUCUCCACCGACCUAAAGGAUCAAGGAUAAUCGUUCAAUCAAUGUCGGUUUGAUCCAACGGCCCAUAUUCACUUGAAGGGACUAUAAAACUAGACCCCCUGGCCCCUGGAGGAGAGAGCCUCUCAACCCGAAUUCAUUAUUCUCAAGGGAGAAGAAGCCUCUGAUCAAGAUUAGAGCCACCACAUCAAUUAGAUAUCUAGAUUAGCAUAGCUACAUAGGAUUAGAACUAGAAGGAGUCAAUCUUCGAUUGGUUUCCGGAUCUGUCAAGAGGAUUCUUGGUAAUUCUCUAAUUGUGCUUCUAAUUGUUCUUCUAAUCAUCUUUGUUCUUCAAUAUUAUGAAUAUGACUUUGUUGUACUUCAAUAUAUUGCUUAUGACUUUGCUCUACUUGUUUAUAUUCAAGAUUAUAUUGUUCUUAGUUUAUCAUAGUUAUGUACUUGGCUUAGUUAGAUUGGAUCUAUAUACAUGCUUAGGAUCGUAUAGCGUUUAUCCAUCGGAACCAUAGGUAAAUGAUAGAUAUUGUGUAGGCGUGGUGCUUAUACCGUAUUUAUCUGCGAUUGUACCCAAUAUGCCAGAUCGUGGGGUAGUUCGUGAUAGUGACAGCUUCAUUGAUUCUUAUAUAGUCCCCCUCUCGUGUAUUGGGCUGGCAGAGCAAUAUUAUUACAGGAGAGUGUUUGCUAUGUUUCUCAUUUACCUUGCUAAUAUCACUAUGCAUGGGCGUAGUCUUGUCUCGCAAUGAUUGCUAAGUAUGCUUGCACUAACUAUGAUAAUGCUAGACUAUAUAGUUGAGAAUAACUUAGGAAAUAUUCUUGUAGUUUGUUCUAAUACCAUGCUAAUGACUUUCUAGAAUAUCUAAUUGAGGUGCUUAUCAUAUUUAUUAUGUGGCUAAGUUAUGCUGAUCAGAUUAAUUAUCUUUGUCACUAUUCAUUACUUCAUAUAUCCUUUAUGUGACACUUAUCCGUAUAUGUUAUCCCUGUAUGAAAGAGUUAGAUAAAUGUUCUCAAUUAUAUAUGCAAUGAUAGAUACUCAAUCUCAUAUUCUAUUCUGUAAUCAAUAUUGAUGAUUGCUAAUCCCUUCCCAGUGGUAAAAAUAUAAAUAACGAUACCUAGAAUACUUCCCGGUUAAAAUGCUACAUCGGUAUUAAUCUGUGCGCUUGCAGAUCCUAUUCAUUAUUUAUUUAGAAGAGCAAUUGCAUAUUUCAAUACCGCGUCUCUCAUGUCAUGCUGGGGAUGACAACUUGGCUUAAGUGGUAUGAGAGAUAGGUUUGACAUUUUUGGCACUGUUACUAGAAUUAGAAAACUUUCUACUUUUGGUAAUGAUGUUAAGAAUACCCAACAAGCAUUUUUGGCGCCGUUGCCAGGGAAGGUUGAUUACUAAUCAGGAAUGAAUAAAGGAUUUUGAGUUAUCAUUCCCAUCACUAAUAUGAUUGAGCUUAUCAAUUCUCUCAUACAGUUUUACCCUAAUAUUUACUAUUUUUAUCUUAUGCACGGGAAUGUAUGAAUAAAAGACAUCUUCCAGAACAUUUUGUUGUCAAUCCUGAAGCAUUAUUCAGAAAAACAAGAGCCAAGCUCAAGAAGAGAUCAUCAACACUUCAGCAAGAAGCUUCAUCCAAUCAAGAAGAUCACCGGAACUUGUCUUCAGAGUUCGAAGCCAUGGCGAACAAAUCAAUCCGUGAGUUCUCAGCUCCCACUACGGACAACGUCCGCACUGGACCUGCUGCAGAGAUCGAUGGCCACUUUGAGCUCAAUCCUGGACUUAUCAACAUGGUGCAAUCCAACCAGUUCUGUGGGAAGGCACACGAAGAUGAUAGUGCUCAUCUCCAACACUUCCUGGAGAUUUGCAACACAUUUACCAUAUCAGGAGUCCCCAGAGAUGCUAUACUACUUCGCCUCUUCCCAUUCUCACUGUUAGGAAGAGCGAAGGAGUGGUUUUACGCUACAAAGGAGAAGAACACUACGUGGGCACUCUGCUCAACAAACUUCCUGGCUAAGUCCUUUCCCAUGGGCAAGACCAAUGCUCUCCGUGGGAAGAUUAUAAGUUUUCAGCAACAAAAUGAUGAAUUUGUUCCAGAAGCAUGGGAGCGCUUCCAAGACUACAUCCUAGAAUGUCCCCAUCAUGGAAUGGAGAGUUGGCUACUAAUGCAGACAUUUUAUCAUGGGCUCGGCAACAGUGCCCGAGAGACCAUGGAUGCUGUAGCUGGAGGAGCAUUCUUAUCACUUACCAUAUCACAAGCCAUAGCUCUUGUGGAGAAGAUGGCAUCCAAUCAAGGCUGGAAUGAAGAGAGGACCCAAACACGCAAGAGAGGUGGAGGUAUACAUCAGCUCAAGGAGGUAGACAUGCUAUCUGCAAAGCUAGACCUGCUCAUGAAGAAGCUCGACAAUAGAGCUGGAGAUAAGAAAGAAGUUUUGCACAUCUACGACUCUCACAUGACUUGUGAGGAGUGUGGAGAUACUGGACACUCAGGCAAUCACUGCCCUGAGAUGCUUGAGGAUGUGAACUACAUCAACAAUAACAUCAACAACUACUACAACCGUCCUCAACAAAAUCAAGGUUGGAAUCAACAGAGGCCUAACUACUCAGGUAAUUAUCAAGGUAACAAUUCUUACAACAAUAACAAUAAUUUUCCACCUCUGAGAGAGUUAGUGUCUAAUCAAGGAAAGCUAAUGGAUAACCUAUCUAAGAAAUUGACAUCUAAUAAUAAAAUGCUAGAAAAUAUAAAUAAUAAAAUGGAUAAUUUCUCUACUGCCAUCAAGAAUCAAAUUAGCUUUAAUAAAAUGUUUGAAUCUCAAUUAAAUCAAAUAGCUGCUGCUGUUCCUACUACUAAGCCCGGUAUACCAUCACAACCGGAAGGAUUAGAAUCUGCAAAUCUUGUAGACAUGUUUGAUACAGGUAAUAACUGGAGUAACCCCAUCACUAAAUUCACUACUGACCUUCUGCCGGUCAAGAGAGGCGACCCAGGACGCCCCGUCAUCCCGAUCUCCAUCGGCAUGGUGGACGUCCCAGAAGCACUCUGUGACUUUGGCUCUAGCGUCAACAUUAUACCCAGGGUACUCUAUGGAAAAUACUUUACAUAUCCUUUAUUAGAGACAACCAUGUGUUUGCAUUUUGCACAUCAGACGAUAAGUUUCCAAAAGGAAUCUUGAAGAACUUUUGUGUCCGAGUUGGUACCUUGUAUGCCCGAGCAUACUUCAUGGUGAUAGAGACCGGUAAUGAUGAGAGGGCACCCAUCAUCUUAGGGAGGCCAUUCUUGAACACCUCAGGAGCUAUCUUCUACGCUAGUGUUGCCAAGAUCAGUUUCUACAUCAAAGGGAGGAAGGAGACGUUUUCCUUCAAAAACAAGACUACACAAAUCCCAGAUCAAUACAGACGUGAAUCAAGGAAGAGGACCAACAGGAGGAACAGGAACAAGCAAGUGCGGACCGAGUCAGCUAAGAUGGUCACUGUAGUUCAUAGAGGCCAAGAUCAACAACUUAAGUCACCAUUUUUGACCAAGAAGGAUGACCCAGGAUUGCCAAGCAUCUACUGCUCCAUAAAUGGAUACAACUUCUACAAGACGACUUGCGACAUCAGAUCGGGCGUCAACAUAAUGGCCGCAGUCACCUAUCGGCUCUUGUUCGGAACCAUGCCCCUGAAACCAACAUACAUUCAGCUCCAGAUGGCAGAUCAGACGUUUCAAGAAGUUAAAGGUACGGUAAUUGAUGUCCCAGUCAAAAUAGACGAUCAUUUUAUCUACACAGACUUUCAGGUUAUUGACAUGGGAGAAGACGAAUACGGUCCACCCAUCAUCCUUGGAAGACCGUUCCUCAGCUCCGUUAAAGCAAUCAUCUACAUUGGAACCGGAGAAGUGCAUAUGCACCUCCCCUCAGAGAAGGUACGCCGCUAUUUUACUGACCCUAACUAUAUUGUUGAAGACUCCAAGUAGGUCAAAAAACGACGCAACCGCAACUAGAGGAGGCAAAUCAUCAAGGACGGAUGGGCAGACUAUGAAGGAGAAGUAGUAAGGUCAGAAGACGUACAGUUUAAACAGAAUUAUCCAGAGGAGACUGAAGCACCGAGUCAGGUAUGGAGAGAGAAAAUAACUAUACAUGAAGAGGAGGCGCUGCCGGAAGUACCGACUACGCCUCCCAACGAAUCUCAGGACAACUGAAAAUACGGAGAGUCCCGUUCGGAGGACUUAAAAACACCGAACGCCUUGCCAAGAGGUAAACUUGGUGUUAUCCUUUCCCUUUCAAUUAUUUCAAAUAGUUUGCUUAGUCAAUCAUGUUCAUACUAUCCUAAAAAGAAAAUAAAAAUGUGAAAAAAUAGUAAGCCCCAUGUGAGUAUACGAGUGGCAUAAAACCCAUAAGUACAUUCACUAUGGUGGCAUAAAAAUAAAAUAAAUAUUUCUUUUCUGCUUUAUAAAAUAAAAAUAUAAAAAUAGGGAGUAACAUUUAUUAAGGAGUCUCAACAUGAUAAAGGCUAGAUAUUUAUGCUAACACUUAAUCAGUUCCACAAGCUUUGUUGUCUAUUUGAGCUCCACAGAAUUUAAAAAUCAAGAAGACUAGCAAACGGAGGACAUUCUAAUCGCUGUCAAGAUACUGCCGACUUUCAAAUACACCUCUACCACCUGCUAGCUACAUCAAGAGAAAUUACGUCAAAAUUUAGCUUAGGGGAGAGCACCCCCAUUUAUCCCGCUAAGUAUUUCUAUCUAUCUUUAUACUUAUACUAUAUUAAAAUAUAAAUAUACAUAACUAUGAAAAACCAAAUAAAGAUUUUAUGCUUAUAUAUAUAUAUCUUUUGCUUAGUGUGUUUAAUAAAUAAAUAAAGUGGCUAUGCUAAUCUGAAUCUUAAUAAUAAAACUCUAGCAUGGAUAUGAUGAAUAGUUGCUCUGCCCAAUUUUAAAAUUUGAAGUUCUCUCUCAAGUUUAGACAUAACUGUUAUAAUUUAAAGCUUGCUCUAAACCUAAACUUGUGGGAUGAAAACUUGAUCUGAAGUCCAAGUUGUUAACGGAUAUGAUAUAGGAAGGUUGAGCUGUUGUUUAUCUGUUCCUAGAGAUGCUAGAAUUCUAGAGAAUUUUAUCUUUUAAAAUCUUUAAAAUAUUGUAUGAUGACUUCCUGUAUGAUGAGAGUUUAAAUUCCAACCACAACCAUAUAUACAUGCUUGCUAGACUUUGAGCCACACAUUUACUAUUUACUCCUUAUGAGCAUUGAGUGUGGUCAAGCUGUGUAGACCCUUAGAAGCUUGUCAUGUGGUUAAAUCAAGAUUCACUUGCACGUUCAUUCACAUAUGCUGCUUCUACUCCGGAAGUACCAUGCACAUAUAUCCACCCAUUUCCAUCUCCAGAAUCACCCAGAAAUAUUCUACUCCUAAUCCGGGGAGAGAAUAGCCAAAAAUAUUUCUGUUUUUCCCUGUGAAAUAAAUGCUCAAGUUAUCUUGUUACUACCACUUGCUAUAUUAUCUCAAGAGAUGAGUGCUCUAAAAAAAAAGAGAGAAAGAAAAAAGUAUACGAGGAAAUAAAAAGGGGCAAGUACCCGGAACCUCGAAAGAAAAGAAAAAGUGAGACGAGAGGUAAAAAUGGACAAGUGUCCGACAGUAGAAUUAGGGGUACAAGAUACCCACCAGAGAGGAAAAAAAGAGAAGAGCAUCUCAUUCUCCUCAUAAAGUUUCAAAAAGCAAGGAAGGUAUGUAUCCCCUCAAAGAGCAAAAGUAGAAUUAGACUUUCACCAUUGUUAUCAGAAUCAUCACCAUACACCAUUCAUUCGCCACACAUGCACAUCUUGAUUUGACUUAUUGAUUUGUUUCUUUGGAUCCAUGGUUUGACUAUACAAUAAAUGUCUUGUAAGUAUGUAUACUUUAUCUCCCACCUAUGUGCUCCAAAUAUUAAAGCUUUAUUAGAGUAGGGUGAGAGAGAAGACAAUGUCACUAUGCUUUAUACCAUAAAUACCACAUAUUUUGAGAGAAGGCAUAUACCAUCACUGCCUUGGUAAGGAUCCAGAAAUACCACAAAAGAGAGAUAUGAGAGAGUCAUACAAGGAAUCUCUAAGUUUUAUUUGAAAAUCUUCAAAAACUCCAGAGCUAUAGCUGAUCAAGAAUAAGAGACAUGACACUUGACUAGACCGUUCUAUCUUUUAACCACUCAAGACAGAAGUGACGGUUACAAGUCCCAUGGUGAAAGGUAAAGUAAGUAAGUUUUAAGUCUUGACAGUUUACUCUAAUUUAGAGAUGAUAUCUUAUUUAAAAGCAAGUGUACCAUCAAUUUUUAAAAAAAUAUGUUGCAACAACUUCUGAUCCAUCGCUGAGUCUAUCCUUGCUCAGGGACGAGCAAGAGGUAAGCUUGGGGGAGUUUGUUGACGGUCCUUAAGUAUCAAAUUUAAUUAUCAAAUAAACAAAGAAAAGGAUCCAAAUGAAAUCAGCAACUAGACUUAGGGUUUUAUCUGACAAAAUUCCAUGAGUUUUGGUGUUUGUCUAUUUCUGCAGGGGGUUAUCAGGAAAUACGGAAUAAAGGCCCACACGUCGGGAUUACAUAGAGAUAUCAAUGUGCCGUGCAAUUAUCUUACAUCUAGAAGACUCAAGAAGCCACGGGAAGGAAGCGGAGGCCGAACGGGGCCUGGCCUUGGGCGCCCGCCCAGGUAACCAGGGCGCCCGCCCCCCUUCUGAGUCCAAUCAGGACUCUCUUUCGGGAAAGAUCUCCACCGACCUAAAGGAUCAAGGAUAACCGUUCAAUCAAUGUCGGUUUGAUCCAACGGCCCAUAUUCACUUGAAGGGACUAUAAAACUAGACCCCCUGGCCCUUGGAGGAGAGAGCCUCUCAACCCUAAUUCAUUAUUCUCAAGGGAGAAGAAGCCUCUGAUCAAGAUUAGAGCCACCACAUCAAUUAGAUAUCUAGAUUAGCAUAGCUACAUAGGAUUAGAACUAGAAGGACUCAAUCUUCGAUUGGUUUCCGGAUCUGUCAAGAGGAUUCUUGGUAAUUCUCUAAUUGUGCUUCUAAUUGUUCUUCUAAUCAUCUUUGUUCUUCAAUAUUAUGAAUAUGACUUUAUUCUACUUCAAUAUAUUGCUUAUGACAUUGCUCUACUUGUUUAUAUUCAAGAUUAUAUUGUUCUUAGUUUAUCAUAGUUAUGUGCUUGGCUUAGUUCGAUUGGAUCUAUAUACAUGCUUACGAUCGUAUAGCGUUUAUCCAUCGGAUCCAUAGGUAAAUGAUAGAUAUUAUGUAGGCGUGGUGCUUAUACCGUAUUUAUCUGCGAUUGUACCCAAUAUGCCAGAUCGUGGGGUAGUUCGUGAUAGUGACAGCUUCAUUGAUUGUUAUAUAGUCCCCCUCUCGUGUAUUGGGCUGGUAGAGCAAUAUUAUUACAGGGGAGUGAUUGCUAUGUUUCUCAUUUACCUUGCUAAUAUCACUAUGCAUGGGCGUAGUCUUGUCUCGCAAUGAUUUCUAAGUAUGCUUGCACUAACUAUGAUAAUGUUAGACUAUAUUGUUGAGAAUAACUUAGAAUAUAUUCUUGUAGUAAUAUCCCAUUCAUUAUUUAUUUAGAAGAGCAAUUGCAUAUUUCAAUACCGCGUCUCUCAUGUCAUGCUGGGGAUGACAACUUGGCUUAAGUGGUAUGAGAGAUAGGUUUGGCAUUUUUGGCACCGUUACUAGAAUUAGAAAACUGUCUACUUUUGGUAAUGAUGUUAAGAAUACCCAACAUUAUUCUUAACUAUAAAGUCUAGCAUAUCAUAGUUAGUGCAAUUAUACUUGGCAAUCAUUGCGAGACAGGACUACGCCCUUGCAUAGUGAUAUUAUCAAGGAAGAUGAGAAAAAUAGCAAUCACUCCCCUGUAAUAAUGUUGCUCUGCCUGCCCUAUACACGAGAGGGGGACUAUAUAAGAAUCAAUGGAGCUGUCACUACCACAAACUACCCUGCGAUCCGGCAUAUAGGGUACAAUCGUAGAUAAAUACGGUAUAGGCACCACGGCUACACAAUAUUUAUCAUUUACCCACUGUACACAUGGAUAAACGCUAUACGAUCCUAAACAUGUAUAUAAUUCCAAUCUAACUAAGCCAAGCAUAAAACUAUGAUAAACUAAGAACGAUAUAAUUGCAAAUAUAAACAAGUAGAGCAAAGUCAUAAUCAAUAUAUUGAAGUUGAACAAAGUCAUAUUCAUAAUAUUGAAGAACAAUGAUGAACAAAUGAAGAACAGUAUAGGAAUUACCAAGAAUCAUCUUGAUAGAUCCGGAAACCAAUCGAAGAUUGACUCCUUCUAGUUCUAAUCCUAUGUAGCUAUGCUAAACUAGAGAUCUAGUUGAUGUGCUGGCUCUAGGGCUUGAUUAGAGACUUCUUCUCCCGAGAUGAAUGAAUGAAUUAUGGCUUUAGAGGUCCUCUCCUCCAGGGGCCAGGGGCCUGCUUAUAUAGUCCUUCCAAAUGAAUAUGGGCCGUCGGAUCAAACCGACCUUAAUCGCACGGUUUUCCUUAAUCCUCUAGGUCGGUGGAGCAUGAUCCGUGAGGUGGAGCCUAAUUGGCUCUCUGGCCAGGGCGGGUGCCCAAGGGGAGAGGGCGGGCGCCCUGUCCCCGGGCCCUCUCGGCCUCCCGCUCGUUCCAGUGGCUUCUGGACUCUUCUAGAUGUUGGAUAAUUGCGGUGCACAUUAAUAUCUCUAUGUAAACCCGACGUGUGGGCCUUUCUUCCAUGUUUCCUGAUAACCCCCUGUAGAAAUAGACAAACACCAAAACUCGUGGAAUUCUGUCAGAUAAAACCCUAAAGUCUGGGUGUCGAUUGCAUUUGGAUCCCUUUCUUUGUUUAUUUGUUGAUUAUAUUUGAUACUUAAGGACCGUCAACAAACUCCCCCAAGCUUACCUCUUGCUCGUCCCUGAGCAAGGAUAGACUCAGUGAUGGAUCAGAAGCUGCUGUAAUGCCAUUAAAAGUUGACGGUACACAUGCUUUCAAAUGAGGUCUCAUAUUUGAGUUAGAGUAAGCUGUCAAGAUUAAAACUUACUCAUUUUACCUUUUACCAUGGGACUUGUAAUCAUCACUUCUGUCUUGAGCAGUUAAAAGAUAGAACGGUCUAGUCAAGCGCCAUGUCUCUUAUUCUUGAUCAGCUAUAGCUCUGGAGUUUUUGUAGAUUUUCAAAUAAAACUCAGAGAUUCCUUUGUAUGACUCUCUCAGAUCUCUCUUUUGUGGUAUUUCUAGAUCCUUACCAUGGCAGUGAUGGUAUAUGCCUUCUCUCAAAGUAUGUGGUAUUUGUGGUAUGAAGCAUAGUAAACUUGCCUUCUCUCUCACCCUACUUUAAUAACGCUUUUGAUAUCUGGAGCUCAUAGGUGGGAGAUAAAGUAUACAUACUUACAAGACAUUUAUUGCAUAGUCAAACCAUGGAUCCAGAGAAACAAGUCAAUAAUUCAAAUCAAGAUGUGCAUGUGUGGCGAAUGAAUGGUGUAACAAUGGUGAAAGUCUAAUUCUACUUGUUGUGCUCUUUUGAGGGGAUACUUACCUUUCUUGCUCUUUGAAACUUUUUGAGGAGAAUGAGAUGCUCUAUAUUUUCUUUUUCUUUCCCCUCAGGUGGGUAUCUUGUAUCCCUAAUUCUACUAUCGGACACUUGUCCAUUUUUACCUCUCGUCUCACUUUUUCUUUUCUUUCGAGGUUCCGGGCACUUGCCCCUUUUUAUUUCCUCGUAUCUUUUUUCUUUUUUUUCUUUUUUAGAGCACUCAUCUCCUGAAAUAAUAUAGCAAAUGGUAGUAACCAAGAUAACUCGAGCAUUUAUUUCACCAGGAAAAAACAGAAAUAGGAGAAUGUUUUUGGCUAUUCUCUCCCGGAUUAGGAGUAGAAUACUUUUGGGUGGCUCUAGAGAUGGAAAUUAGUAGAUAUAUGUGGUGCGUAAUUCCGGAGUAGAAGCAGCAUGUGUGAGUGAACGAGCAAGUGAAUCUUAAUUUUAACCGCAUGGCAAGCUCCUAAGGGUCUACACAGCUUGACCACACUCAAUGCUCAUAAGCAGUAAAAAGUAAAUGUGUGGCUCAAAGUCUAGCAAGCAUGUAUAUAUGGCUGUGGUAGAAAUUUAAACUCUCAUCAUACAAGAACUCAUCAUGUGAUAUUUUAAGAUUUUCAAAGAUAAAAUUCUCCAGAGUUCUAGCAUCUCUAGAAACAGAUAAACAGCAGCUCAACCUUCCCAUAUCAUAUCCGUUAACAACUUAGACUUCAGAUCAAGUUCUCUUCCCACAAGUUCAGGUUUAGAGCCAGCUUUAAAUUAUACCAGUUAUGUCUAAACUAGAGAGAGAACUCAAAUAUGAAAAUUAGGCAGAGCAACUAUUCAUCAUAUCCAUGCUAGAGUCUUAUUAAGAUUCAGUUUAGCAUAGCCACUUUAUUUAUUUAUUAAGCAUACUAAGCAAAAGAUAUAUAUAUAAGCACAAAAUCUUUAUUUGGUUUUUCAUGGAUAUGUAUAUAUAUAUUUUUUUAAUAUAGUAUAAGUAUAAAUGCAGAUAGAAAUACUUAGCGAGAUAAAUGCGGGUGCUCUCCUCCAAGCUGGAUUUUAACGUAAUUUCUUCUGUUGUAGCUAGCAGGUGCUGGAGGUGUAUUUGAAAGUCGGCAGCACCCUGACAGCAAUUAGAAUGUCCUCCGUCUGCUAGUCUUCUUGAUCCUUGAAUUCUGUGAUCUCCAAUAGACAACAAAGCUUUGUGGAACUGAUUAGAUGUUAGCAUAAUAUUUAGAGCCACCUCAAUAAAUGCUACUUUCUUUGGUAGGAUCACAAUUUUAUUUUUGUAUUUUCAUUUUUAUAGAGCGGAAGAAUAUUUUUAUUUUAUUAUUAUUUUUUUAUGCCACCGUAGUGAAUGUACUUACGGAUUUGAUGCCACUUGUAUACUCACAUGGGACUUACUGGUUUUAACAUUUUUAUUUUCUUUUUAGGAUAGUAUGAAUAUAAUUAACUAAGCAAACUACUUUAAAUAAUUGAAAGGAAAAGGAUAACUACCAAGUUUACCUCUUGGCAAGGCGUUCGGUGUUUUUAAGUCCUCCGAACGGGACUCUCCGUUUUCUCAGUCGUCCUAGGAUUCGCUGGAUGGUAUAGUCGGUGUUACAGAACCGACCAAAUUAUAAGAGUUCAAGUGUAGAAACAAUCGACAAGCAAUCAAGUUUCCAAACUUGAGCCCAUAUAAUACUGGUAGUCAAUUGAAAUCACGAAGGACUUCAAACCAACUUGCAACAAACCAAGAUCGUAAUAACUCAGCACAACACAGCGAAUGUUACAUAGUCAUUCAUUGCUAUCGAAGCGGCACCACAUCGGAGUUAUUAAGUUAUUACAACACAUGUUCGAAGUAGCGGAAGCAAAAUAAUUACACAACGGAAAACAUCGUCAUAACAUAACGAACAUGUUAAGAUUGCACAUUGGGUCUACAAAGUUAUUACACCAUCACAGUACAUGCCAUGAGUCAAGGUCAAAGUUCCGGAUUACAACAUGGGUACAAAAGCAUCACCGCUAGCUGCCAGACUACAGAAGAUCCUCACAUAACACUACCCACUAGUCCCUACACUCCAGGCUCAUCGUCCGAGUCAGCGUCGAAGAUUGCAUCUCCAUCCUCAUCGCUAACUGACUCAAGCUCCUCGUCCUCCACGUCCUCGUGCAAGGGUGGUGCAUCCGCUGCUGGUCCAUCGAUCUCCAUACCAUCAUCAUCGGCCACAAUCACCUGAGGUCCCACCUCUGGAUACACGGGUAUAGGGUGAGGAAUAGGGUGUAACAAGUUGUUGAGACGGUGAAUCUCCACAAGACCAGCCUCAAUCUGAUCCUGUAGAUAGUUCUCCCGCUCAAGCGACUGAACCCGGUGCAUCUCCCAAGCCCGGCGCCAGUUCUCCGACACACGGAGUGCAGUGUCCCUCUCACGAGUGAUCUGCACCAAGCGCUCCUGUAUUGUCUCCCUCUCUCGAGACAACUGGCUCAUAUGAUCCUGCUUAUGAUCCCUCUCCCUAAUGGCCUUCACCCACGCAAUGCCUUUCCAGUCAUUGCGGUCCUUCUGAGCUUGCUCCAGGAGUCUAGCUUGCUUGUGAAACUUGCGAGCACGCUUUUCAGCCUUCCGUUGCAUCUCCUGAGCCUGGCGAACAGCCACCAUCACCUGUGCAUAGGUGUCCUCUCGCUGACUGAUCAGUUUGAGCACAGCCAUCAUAGCACUCAUAGCAGGACUAGAGCUCUCAGCUCUCUCUCCCCUGCCUCAAACCAAAGCACAACCAUCAGCCUGUUUCCACUCCGCUGCUGCUGGGUCAGCACGGGGAAUGGAGGCCGCUGGUCCUCCUGUCAACUCAUCGCCACACCUCUGACAGAUAUCGAGUAGGAUAGUCUAGGCUGCAACCUGAGCUGCUUCCCAAGGAGUCUGCCCAUCUGAGCUACAGGUCCACCCUGUCCAUGCAGGCUUGCUCCCAUGUGGAGGGACAACUCCCUGCACAGCAAACCACUGCAACUCUCCUGUCCUAUCCAACUCCCACCAAGAAUACUGAGGUGGCUUAGUAUACCCUACUGACUGUAGCACUCUCCAGAGCAAAGUAGGAGUGCCAAACUCGCUCAAGAAAGUGUCACUGAGACAGGGUGAAGCGGGCGCAUCUAUCUAUGGAAAGGAAUAGGAAUACUGUUGACACUUGCUAACACCACUUGAAUACUAGGUUGUCAUCCCCAGCAUGGCACUAGAGUGUACUAUGGUAUUUAUACGCACACAGAUAAUCCGCAAGCGCACGGAUACCGUUGAAGCUUUUAGCCGGUUAAAGGUUUUAUCGUAUCCACAGGGAAACGGGAGAACCAACUACGCUCUAACUUAACCAAGAUAGAUAGAUAGGUGUAAAUAGGAAAGAUGAUAGAAUCGUAUAAGAACAAUAUUAAAGGUAAGAUAACAGUGAGUGAUAAUAUGGGAAUAGAGAGUAGAGAAAUUCUAGUAUAUGGGCGAUGGUAGCAGAAUAGAGAGGAUAACUAUGGUUUCUCUACUUCAAAGGGGUAUGUCUAUGUCUGGGACGAACCACGUGAUAAGAGUACACCACAAAGGAUGCUUAUCCAUAGGCCGAUAAACCCUACCCAUCCUGCUAACGAGAGGUGGACUACAGGGGACCAACGUAACUGUCACCUAUGCGGCCUACUACACGAUCCAGCUAGUCAGGGGAUAUCCACAAGUAAUCUAGGUCUAAGCACCACGCUUACACCUAUACUACAACUCUAACCUAUAGGGUCCUAUAGAUUAGAAGUACUCAAAAGAGUUGUGAACCAGAACAUACAUGAUUAGUAAUUGCAUAAUGAAUUAGAAGUAGAUUACCAGAGUCAUCCCAUGAGCAAGCUUGAUUGGAGCUUGAUCAUGGCGAAGUACAACCGGAGGAAGAACCAACAGGCCGGCCUCUCCUCUAAUCCUCCUUCGCUCUCCAUCUCGCUACUAUCUAGAUCUACUCUAGUUUAGAGAAGAGAGGAGAGCUCUCAUCUCUAAACCCUAGCUUUUGCUCUGACUAUGAAUAAUGAAUAAUGAUCAAGGGGUGUCUCCUCCAGGGGCCAGGGGGUCUGGUUUUAUAGUCCCCUCAAGUGAACCUGGGCCGUCGGAUCAAACCGACAUUGAUUGAACGGUUAUUCUUGAUCCUUUAGGUCGGUGGAGCAUAAUCCGCGAGAUUGAGCGUGAUUGGCCACAGGAGGUGGGCGGGCGCCCUAAGGACUUGGGCGGGCGCCCUGUCCCUGACUCCGUUCGGUCUCCGCUUCCUUCCCGUGGCUUCUGGAGUCUUCUAGAUGUAAGAUAAUUGCGCAGCAUGUUAAUAUCUCUAUGUAAUCCCGAUGUGUGGGCCUUUCUUCUGUAUUUCCUGAUAACCCCCUGCAGAAAUAGACAAACACCAAAACUCGUGGAAUUCUGUCAGAUAAAACCCUAAGUCUAGAUGUUGAUUUCAUUUGGAUCCUUUUCUUUGUUUAUUUGAUAAUUAAAUUUGAUACUUAAGGACCGUCAACAAACUCCCCCAAGCUUACCUCUUGCUCGUCCCUGAGCAAGGAUAGACUCAGCAAUGGAUCAGAAGUUGUUGCAAUAUCUUAAAAAUUUGACGGUACACAUGCUUUUUAAAUAAGUUCUCAUCUCUGAGUUAGAGUAAACUGUCAAGAACUAAAACUUACUUACUUUACCUUUCACCAUGGGACUUGUAACCGUCACUUCUGUCUUGAGUAGUUAAAAGAUAGAACAGUCUAGCCAAGUGCCAUGUCUCUUAUUCUUGAUCAGCUAUAGCUCUGGAGUUUUUGUAGAUUUUCAAAUAAAACUCAGAGAUUCCUUGUAUGACUCUCUAAAUCUCUCUUUUGUGGUAUUUCUGGAUCCUUACCAAGGCAGUGAUGGUAUAUGCCUUCUCUCAAGAUAUGUGGUGUUUGUGGUAUAAGGCAUAGUGACAUUGCCUUCUCUCUCACCCUACUCUAAUAAAGCUUUAAUAUCUGGAGUUUAUAGGUGGGAGAUAAAGUAUACAUACUUACAAGACAUUUAUUGUGUAGUCAAACCAUGGAUCCAGAGAAACAAAUCAAUAAGCCAAAUCAAGAUGUGCAUGUGUGGCGAAUGAAUGGUGUAUAGUGAUGAUGGUGAUAACAAUGGUGAAAGUCUAAUUCUACUUUUGCUCUUAUGAGGGGAUACAUACCUUCCUUGCUUUUUGAAACUUUAUGAGGAGAAUGAGAUGCUCUUCUUUUUCUUUCCUCUCAGGUGGGCAUCUUGUACCCCUAAUUCUACUGUCGGACACUUGUCCAUUUUUACCUCUCGUCUCACUUUUUCUUUCUUUCGAGAUUCCGGGCACUUGCCCCUUUUUAUUUCCUCGUUUAUUAUUAUUAUUUAUUUUUUUUCUUGUCUUUUCUUUUUUUCAGAGCAGUCAUCUCCUGAAAUAAUGUAGCAAGUGGUAGUAACCAAAAUAACUGGAGCAUUUAUUUCACAGGGAAUAACAGGGAUAGGAAAAUGUUUUUGGCUAUUCUCUCCCGGAUUAGGAGUAGAAUAUUUUUAGGUGAUUCUGAAGAUGGAAAUGGAUGGAUAUAUGUGGAUGGUACUUCCGGAGUAGAAGUAGCAUAUAUGAGUGAACGUGCAAGUGAAUCUUGAUUUAACCACAUGACAGGCUCCAAAGGGUCUACACAGCUUGACCACACUCAAUGCUCAUAAGCAGUAAAUAGUAAAUGUGUGGCUCAAAGUCUAGCAAGCAUGUAUAUAUGGCUGUGGUAGGAAUUUAAACUCUCAUCAUACAGGAACUCAUCAUGCAAUAUUUUUAAAGAUUUUUCAAAGAUAAAAUUCUCCAGAAUUCUAGCAUCUCUAGGAACAGAUAAACAGCAGCUCAACCUUCCCAUAUCAUAUCCGUUAACAACUUAGAUUUCAGAUCAAGUCUUCAUCCCACAAGUUUAGAUCUAGAGCAAGCUUUAAAUUAUAACAGUUAUGUCUAAACUUGAGAGAGAACUUCAAAUUUGCAAAUUAGGCAGAGCAACUAUUCAUCAUAUCCAUGCUAGAGUUUUAUUAUUAAGAUUCAUAGCAAACUUUAUUUAUUUAUUUAUUUAUUUAGCAAACUAAGAAAAGAUAUAUAUAUAUAUAUAAGCAUAAAAUCUUUAUUUGGUUUUUCAUAGUUUAUGUAUUUUAAUAUUCUAAUAUAAUAUAAGUAUAAAGAUAGGUAGAAAUACUUAGCGAGAUAAAUGGGGGUGCUCUCCCCCAAGCUGAAUUUUGACGUAAUUUGUCUUGAUGUAGCUAGCAGGUAGCAGAGGUGUAUUUGAAAGUCAGCAGUAUUCCGACAGCGAUUAGAAUGUCCUCCGUCUGCUAGUCUUCUUGAUUCUUAAAUUCUGUGGAGCUCAAAUAGACAACAAAGCUUGUGGAACUAAUUAAGUGUUAGCAUAAAUAUCUAGCCUUCAUCACGUUGAGCUUCCUCAAUAAAUAUUACUCCCUGUUUUUAUAUUUUUAUUUUGUAAAGUAGAAAAGAAAUAUUUAUUUUAUUUUUAUGCCACCACAGUGAAGGUACUUAUGGGUUUUAUGCCACUCGUAUACUCACACGGGGCUUAGUAUUUUUUAAUAUUUUUAUUUUCUUUUCAAGAUAGCAUGAUUAACUAAUAAUCUAUUUAAGGAAAGUAAAUAAUUAAAUGGAAAAGGGAAUGCAGAAUGGAUAAAUAUGGAUAACUACCAAUCUUACCUUUCGGCGAGGGUUCAAUGUUUUAAGUCUUCUUGUCAAGACUUCUCAUCGUGUUCAUUCUUCAGGUGCGUCAUUUGAUUCAGGUGCGGACCUUGACGUCUGCACCUUUUAAUACGGUGUCACCCAUGUUCUUCGUUUGCCCAGCAGUUCGAAGUGCGGUGUUAGCAGUAUCUUGCUCAGUGUGUUUGUGCUCGUAGUGUACCUGCUCAUAGAGACAAGGCAGAGAUCAAGUGCAUGGGCCCUGUUGGUGGAAAACACCAACAGAACCAAAAGUGUAUUUCUUCUCUAACUUUAAGCAUAGUGAGCAUGACAAAGUUGAUGGAUGAUAAGUUCAUGAGUGUAGCACUUAUAACAUUUGUCAGAUCAGAUCGCUCAGCCUUAUGAAAAGAUAAUCUAUCUAUGUAUAUGUCUUUUUCUUUAUAUCUCUCAAUGAUUGAAUGUGUAACAUUUUAGCUCAUAUGAUUAGGAGUGUGGGAUCAUGGAGGUAGUACUAAGAACAAGGAUUAAAGGACUAAACAUGUUGAAUCAGUUGGGUUGGUUAAUCUAGAGUUGUAAAUCAUACACGUUUGUCUCUUUUAUUUAUAUGAA